rnacentral:lncRNA from 1 species
UAACCUUUGAUCAUGUGAUAAACUACAUGAUAUUGCAGCCACGCUGCUGAGUGCCUUACUCAAUCUUUGUUCUUCCUUGUUCUUCUUGGAUUUGUGAAGUGAAUCCUCUGGGUUUCCCUACUUUGUGCUCUACGGCUUCCGUUCGGCUGCGCCGUAUUGUGUGGAUUAGGUUCUGCGGUUGUUCGGAGAUCGAGUCGAAGUCUUCGCGGUUUCGGUGCCUCUCUCCCCGUCGCUUGGUCGCAUCCAACCUUUGUUAGGUAUAAAGCUAGUUAUCCGCUGUUCGCAGCAAGUUAUCCUUGUUCUUUUGAUCUACUGUCAUAAAGAUCGGGCCACCCUCGUGCCGAUUCAUAUCGGUAGCCUAUCAACUAGUAUCUAAGCUUUUGUUGUCACGUUAGAUCUCACAAUCGUCCGCAUAUCUACCUUUAGUUUAUCUAUCGUUGGUUACUGAUUUGUUCAUCACCUAUAGUCCACUGAAAAAGCCACAAAAAAAUCUUAAAGCCCUUUGAUGGUAUUGUUAUCUUGUGUUUUUGUGUUCGUCAAGUUGCUAAUCACCCUCUUUACAUAUAUUAUGUUGUGUUUCAUUUGUCAUCCGCACUCCUGUUUGUGUAAAAAAGAGUUAAAAAAAGUUAGAGAAAAAAAUUUCAGAGAAAAGAAAAGAGAAGAGGAAAGGGGUUGUAUUGUGGUUUGCUCACUGAAAAAAAUUCAGUUUACAUAUUCAGAUUCUUAGGGAUUUAUAUGCCAGC